GAUGAACGCUAGCGGCAGGCCUAAUACAUGCAAGUCGAACGGUGUCUUCGGACAUAGUGGCGCACGGGUGCGUAACACGUAUGCAACCUACCUUACAUUGGGGGAUAGCCUUUCGAAAGGGAGAUUAAUACCGCAUAAGACAGUAGCUGGGCAUCCAGCAGCUGUUAAAGAUUUAUCGAUGUAAGCUGGGCAUGCGUCCAAUUAGUUAGUUGGUGAGGUAAUGGCUCACCAAGACGAUGAUUGGUAGGGGAACUGAGAGGUCAAUCCCCCACACUGGCACUGAGAUACGGGCCAGACUCCUACGGGAGGCAGCAGUAGGGAAUAUUGGGCAAUGGGCGCAAGCCUGACCCAGCCAUGCCGCGUGCAGGAAGAAGGCGUUCUGCGUUGUAAACUGCUUUUAUAUAGGAAGAAACGGCCCUUGCGAGGGACAUUGACGGUACUAUAUGAAUAAGCACCGGCUAACUCCGUGCCAGCAGCCGCGGUAAAAC
rnacentral:rRNA from 1 species